GACGAACGCUGGCGGCGUGCUUAACACAUGCAAGUCGAACGGAAGGGCCCUGCUUUUGUGGGGUGCUCGAGUGGCGAACGGGUGAGUAACACGUGAGUAACCUGCCCUUGACUUUGGGAUAACUUCAGGAAACUGGGGCUAAUACCGGAUAGGAGCUCCUGCUGCAUGGGGGGGGUUGGAAAGUUUCGGCGGUUGGGGAUGGACUCGCGGCUUAUCAGCUUGUUGGUGGGGUAGUGGCUUACCAAGGGUUUGACGGGUAGCCGGCCUGAGAGGGUGAACGGCCACAUUGGGACUGAGAUACGGCGCAGACGCCUACGGGAGGCAGCAGUGGGGAAUAUUGCACAAUGGGCGGAAGCCUGAUGCAGCAACGCCGCGUGCGGGAUGACGGCCUUCGGGUUGUAAACCGCUUUCGCAUGUGACGAAGCGUGAGUGACGGUAAUGGGUAAAGAAGCACCGGCUAACUACGUG
rnacentral:rRNA from 1 species